rnacentral:rRNA from 1 species
UGGGGAAUAUUGCACAAUGGGCGCAAGCCUGAUGCAGCCAUGCCGCGUGUAUGAAGAAGGCCUUCGGGUUGUAAAGUACUUUCAGUCGGGAGGAAGGUGGUAAGGUUAAUAACCUUAUCAAUUGACGUUACCGACAGAAGAAGCACCGGCUAACUCCGUGCCAGCAGCCGCGGUAAUACGGAGGGUGCAAGCGUUAAUCGGAAUUACUGGGCGUAAAGCGCACGCAGGCGGUUGAUUGAGUCAGAUGUGAAAUCCCCGGGCUUAACCCGGGAAUUGCAUCUGAUACUGGUCAGCUAGAGUCUUGUAGAGGGGGGUAGAAUUCCAUGUGUAGCGGUGAAAUGCGUAGAGAUGUGGAGGAAUACCGGUGGCGAAGGCGGCCCCCUGGACAAAGACUGACGCUCAGGUGCAAAAGCGUGGGGAGCAAACAGG